rnacentral:rRNA from 1 species
UACAGAGGGGGCAAGCGUUGUUCGGAAUUACUGGGCGUAAAGGGCGCGUAGGCGGCCCGCUAAGUCGAACGUGAAAUCCCCGGGCUCAACCCGGGAACUGCGUCCGAUACUGGCGGGCUUGAAUCCGGGAGAGGGAUGCGGAAUUCCAGGUGUAGCGGUGAAAUGCGUAGAUAUCUGGAGGAACACCGGUGGCGAAGGCGGCAUCCUGGACCGGCAUUGACGCUGAGGCGCGAAAGCGUGGGGAGCAAACAGG